rnacentral:rRNA from 1 species
AGAGUUUGAUCCUGGCUCAGGACGAACGCUGGCGGCGUGCUUAACACAUGCAAGUCGAACGGAAAGGCCCUUUCGGGGGUACUCGAGUGGCGAACGGGUGAGUAACACGUGGGUGAUCUGCCCUGCACUUUGGGAUAAGCCUGGGAAACUGGGUCUAAUACCGAAUACACCCUGCUGGUCGCAUGGCCUGGUGGGGGAAAGCUUUUGCGGUGUGGGAUGGGCCCGCGGCCUAUCAGCUUGUUGGUGGGGUGAUGGCCUACCAAGGCGACGACGGGUAGCCGGCCUGAGAGGGUGUCCGGCCACACUGGGACUGAGAUACGGCCCAGACUCCUACGGGAGGCAGCAGUGGGGAAUAUUGCACAAUGGGCGCAAGCCUGAUGCAGCGACGCCGCGUGAGGGAUGACGGCCUUCGGGUUGUAAACCUCUUUCAGCAGGGACGAAGCGCAAGUGACGGUACCUGCAGAAGAAGCACCGGCCAACUACGUGCCAGCAGCGGCGGUAAUAC